rnacentral:rRNA from 1 species
CAGUAGCCGCGGGAAUACGAAGGGGGCUAGCGUUGCUCGGAAUGACUGGGCGUAAAGGGCGCGUAGGCGGUUCACGCAGUCAGAUGUGAAAUUCCUGGGCUUAACCUGGGGGCUGCAUUUGAGACGCGUGGGCUUGAGUGUGAAAGAGGGUCGUGGAAUUCCCAGUGUAGAGGUGAAAUUCGUAGAUAUUGGGAAGAACACCGGUGGCGAAGGCGGCGACCUGGUUCAUAACUGACGCUGAGGCGCGAAAGCGUGGGGAGCAAACAGGAUUAGAUACCCCCGUAGUCCCUGUCUCUUAUAA